rnacentral:lncRNA from 1 species
UUUCUUCAUACUUGCCCUUCUUUCCUGUUGGAAUUCAAGAGUGUUGGUGGAAAGGACUUUUACAAGGUCAUCUAAAAACAUACCUGAAUAUUGUGGUUGUUACAUGAAUGGACUAGACUGAUAAUGUGGAUUGAACUUGGGUCUUAUUCUAUAGCCUAAAUUGAGGUGAUCUCUCCACCCAAGAUUGUAUGUGCCGGAGAAUGAGUCGUAUCUUCUUUAAACUGGUCCAGGAAAACUUCCAUCGGUGCUAAAUUGUUAUAGGACAUGCAUUUG